UUAAAUUCAGAAUCCACAUUUACUGUUAACGGCGUUACCCUAACAAAUUCAUCUUAAAGUUUAUCCUUACGGUUUCUCCGUCUAUCAUCAGUUAGAGGUAGAAACUAUAUCCUAUAAAGGGGACGCACUAUAAUCCCGUGCACCUCACCUUUAUCAGCCGCUAAAAAGGGAUAGUAAAACAAAGACUAGAAAGAGCCUACUUGCUGGUAGUCAUCAUCUUCUUAAACUCUUCAAAGCUAACGUAACCGUCGCCGUCGGAAUCAACGGAGUUGAUCAUUUUGGUACAGUCCUGAACGGAGCAGUUUUCGCCUAAACGAGUCAGGAUCUGAUGAAGCUCAGCGGCGGAGAUCAAUCCGUUACUGUCCUGAUCGUACAGAUCAAACGCUUCACGAAGCUCCCUAACGCCACCGUCACCGAUGCUGUUAAUGUCGCCUUUACAGAACUCAGCAAAUUCCUGAAGGCUAAUGAAACCGUCUCUGUCAGAAUCAAUUUCAUUCAUCAUACGAGAGACUUCUUCAGGAGAUGUACCAGAUCCAAGAGCACUGAUGACGCCGGAGAGCUCUUCGCCGGAUAUCAUGCCGUCGCCGUUCGUGUCGAACCGUUGAAACACUUUCUGCACCUCAUCCAUGUUCUGAAGGUAAAGAGAAGGCUUGGAAACGGAGUUAUUGUUGACAUUGUCGGUAGCAGCCAUUGUCGUUGAUCUGGAAGUAAUAGUAUGAGAAAG
rnacentral:misc_RNA from 1 species